GAGAGACUGUUAGAUGUAGAAACAGCUGCUGUUCACCCUAAAGCCAUAUUCAUUUAAUUCACCCCCCUUCAGCAUUAACACUCCCUGGGAUUCCUGCUGAGGAGUUUCUGAAGAAACACAGGGCUAAACUCAUUCAGGGAGUCAAAAACCCAAUGCCGAUAGCAGAUGUUCUGUGGUCAAAGGGCAUGAUUGGUGAUGAAGAGUACUCCAGAAUAACAGCUGAAACAACUGAACAGGAGCGAAUGAGAGAACUACUGAAUGCAGUCCUCCCUAAAGGACCAGAAGUGAUGGGAGCUUGUCUCAAAGCUCUCAGUGAACAUGAACACCAUCUUGUUAAGUACUUGAGUGAAUCUAGCACCUAAUCUGAAGAUGCUGAGGCCUGUCUCCUAGUCUGUGGACAAAGACACUUCUCCACCUAAUCUGAAGAUGCUGAGGCCUGUCUCCUAGUCUGUGGACAAAGACACUUCUCCACCUAAUCUGAAGAUGCUGAGGCCUGUCUCCUAGUCUGUGGACAAAGACACUUCUUCACCUAAUCUGAAGAUGCUGAGGCCUGUCUCCUAGUCUGUGGACAAAGACACUUCUUCACCUAAUCUGAAGAUGCUGAGGCCAGUCUGUUAGUCUGUGGACAAAGACACUUAAAUGAUUGUAAGGGAAAUUGUAAUGUUUGCUUUUCUUUCAACAAAUGUCUGUAUUAUUCAUAUGCUGUUCUAUAAACCAAUUUGUGUUCAUCAAG